rnacentral:rRNA from 1 species
CCUACGGGCGGCAGCAGUGAGGAAUAUUGGUCAAUGGACGAGAGUCUGAACCAGCCAAGUAGCGUGAAGGAUGACUGCCCUAUGGGUUGUAAACUUCUUUUAUAUGGGAAUAAAACGUUCCACGUGUGGGAUUUUGUAUGUACCAUAUGAAUAAGGAUCGGCUAACUCCGUGCCAGCAGCCGCGGUAAUACGGAGGAUCCGAGCGUUAUCCGGAUUUAUUGGGUUUAAAGGGAGCGUAGGUGGAUUGUUAAGUCAGUUGUGAAAGUUUGCGGCUCAACCGUAAAAUUGCAGUUGAAACUGGCAGUCUUGAGUACAGUAGAGGUGGGCGGAAUUCGUGGUGUAGCGGUGAAAUGCUGAGAUAUCACGAAGAACUCCGAUUGCGAAGGCAGUUCACUGGACUGCAACUGACACUGAGGCUCGAAAGUGUGGGUAUCAAACAGGAUUAGAUACCCCGGUAGUC